AGGGAAUUGUUCGCAAUGGGCGCAAGCCUGACGACGCAACGCCGCGUGGAGGAUGAAGGGCUUCGGCUCGUAAACUCCUUUCGACCGAGAUGAAUACCCGCAGGGCUAACAUCCCUUCGGACUGACAGUAUCGAGGGAAGAAGCCCCGGCUAACUCCGUGCCAGCAGCCGCGGUAAUACGGAGGGGGCUAGCGUUGUUCGGAAUUACUGGGCGUAAAGCGUACGUAGGCGGUGUCUCAAGUCAGAGGUGAAAGCCUGGAGCUCAACUCCAGAACUGCCUUUGAAACUAGGACGCUAGAAUUGCGGAGAGGUGAGUGGAAUUCCGAGUGUAGAGGUGAAAUUCGUAGAUAUUCGGAAGAACACCAGUGGCGAAGGCGGCUCACUGGACGCAUAUUGACGCUGAGGUACGAAAGCGUGGGGAGCAAA
rnacentral:rRNA from 1 species